rnacentral:rRNA from 1 species
UUAAAUUGAAGAGUUUGAUCAUGGCUCAGAUUGAACGCUGGCGGCAGGCCUAACACAUGCAAGUCGAGCGGAAACGAGUUAUCUGAACCUUCGGGGGACGAUAACGGCGUCGAGCGGCGGACGGGUGAGUAAUGCCUAGGAAAUUGCCCUGAUGUGGGGGAUAACCAUUGGAAA